rnacentral:rRNA from 1 species
UACGAAGGGUGCAAGCGUUACUCGGAAUUACUGGGCGUAAAGCGUGCGUAGGUGGUGAGUUAAGUCUGUCGUGAAAGCCCCGGGCUCAACCUGGGAAUGGCGAUGGAUACUGGCUCGCUAGAGUACGGUAGAGGGGGAUGGAAUUCCGCGUGUAGCAGUGAAAUGCGUAGAUAUGCGGAGGAACACCGAUGGCGAAGGCAAUCCCCUGGACCUGUACUGACGCUCAUGCACCGAAAGCGUGGGGAGCAAACGAGG